GACGAACGCUGGCGGCGUGCUUAACACAUGCAAGUCGAACGGUGAAGCCUUCGGGUGGAUCAGUGGCGAACGGGUGAGUAACACGUGAGCAAUCUGCCCUUGACUCUGGGAUAACUUCGGGAAACCGGAGCUAAUACCGGAUAUGACAUCUGGCCGCAUGGUCUGGGUGUGGAAAGAUUUAUCGGUCAAGGAUGAGCUCGCGGCCUAUCAGCUUGUUGGUGGGGAAUGGCCCACCAAGGCGACGACGGGUAGCCGGCCUGAGAGGGCGACCGGCCACACUGGGACUGAGACACGGCCCAGACU
rnacentral:rRNA from 1 species